UGGGGAAUAUUGCACAAUGGGGGAAACCCUGAUGCAGCAACGCCGCGUGAAGGAUGAAGGUUUUCGGAUUGUAAACUUCUUUAGUCAGGGACGAAUAAAUGACGGUACCUGAAGAAUAAGCCACGGCUAACUACGUGCCAGCAGCCGCGGUAAUACGUAGGUGGCGAGCGUUGUCCGGAAUUACUGGGUGUAAAGGGCGUGUAGGCGGGAAUGUAAGUCAGAUGUGAAAUCCCAGGGCUCAACCCUGGAGCUGCAUCUGAAACUAUGUUUCUUGAGUGCCGGAGAGGAUAGCGGAAUUCCUAGUGUAGCGGUGAAAUGCGUAGAUAUUAGGAGGAACACCAGUGGCGAAGGCGGCUAUCUGGACGGUAACUGACGCUGAGGCGCGAAAGCGUGGGGAGCA
rnacentral:rRNA from 1 species